UCGAGGCGAAUCGUUGAUACCCGGUGUC
rnacentral:piRNA from 1 species